rnacentral:sRNA from 1 species
AAAAAUGAAAACCUUGUUCUUUCUAGUUAGUACAUGUUCUGUUAGUAUAAAUUUAUAGUGACAGAACUAAUAAAACUCUAGGACCUUGCCCUAAGAGUACAUGUAACAUAAUAUAAGAUGGGGAAACCAAGACAAGGACACACAGUAUCAUGGCUGACCAAAAAGCCCAUGUACUUACCCUGCUGUACAAACUUUUGGGAUUUUAGUGAUGAAGAGGAACAAAUUGGCUUAUGCAUCUGGAUGUGACAUUGUAAUACUGGGAAGCGAUUUUGAAAGAUUACAGAUAAUCCCAGGAGCUAAACAUGGAAAUAUUCAAGUGGGAUGUGUAGACUGUUCAAUGCAACAAGGCAAGAUUGCAGCGUCUUAUGGAAAUGUUAUCUCCAUUUUUGAACCAGUUAACCUACCAAAACAAAAGAAAAAUUUGUAUUCUUGUGAGGUGGUGGUCUUCAUGAGAGUUGCACAUCACAACUACCAUUGGAUACAUGUGCCCAAAUCCUGCUCUGGGAAUUUCUAAAUCUGUAGCUGUGGGAUUGUGUCUAUGCACUUAUAUGUCUUGUUCUAGAGAGGGUUCUGGUAU